GGGGACCAGUCCUAUAGGAUUAGGACCCCACUCCUAUGACCUCAUUUAAUUACCUUACCAAAGCCCCUGUCUCUAAAUAUAGUCCUAUUAAGGAUUAGGGCUUCAGUAUAUUGGAGGGAACACAAUUGAGUUGGUAACAGAGGCACUUUCCAGACCAAUGUGCAGAGAUCCCAAGCAGAGCGCAGUCAUUUUACUAAGCUGAGGAGGCAGAUUGGAAAAGCGUCUGUAGAGAAAGAGU